GAUGAACGCUGGCGGCGUGCUUAACACAUGCAAGUCGAACGAAGCACUUUUACAGAUUUCUUCGGAACGAAGUUUUAGUGACUGAGUGGCGGACGGGUGAGUAACGCGUGGGUAACCUGCCUCACACAGGGGGAUAACAGUUGGAAACGACUGCUAAUACCGCAUAAGCGCACAGUACCGCAUGGUACGGUGUGAAAAACUCCGGUGGUGUGAGAUGGACCCGCGUCUGAUUAGCUAGUUUGCAGGGCAACGGCCUACCAAGGCGACGAUCAGUAGCCGCCCUGAGAAGGUGACCGGCCACAUUGGGACUGAGACACGGCCCAAACUCCUACGGGAGGCAGCAGUGGGGAAUAUUGCACAAUGGGGGAAACCCUGAUGCAGCGACGCCGCGUGAGCGAAGAAGUAUUUCGGUAUGUAAAGCUCUAUCAGCAGGGAAGAAGAAAUGACGGUACCUGCCUAAGAAGCACCUGCUAAAUACGUGCCAGCCGCCGCGGUAA
rnacentral:rRNA from 1 species